rnacentral:tRNA from 1 species
GGGGAUUUAGCUCAGUGGUAGAGUGCUUGCCUAAUAAGCACAAGGUCCUGAGUUCAGUCCUCAGCUCCA